rnacentral:rRNA from 1 species
GUCCCGUAGAUUUUAAUUAUGGGUCUAACCUGCUCAAUGAUUUAUUAAUUAAAUAGCUGCAGUAUAUUAACUGUACAAAGGUAGCAUAAUCAUUUGUCUCUUAAUUUGGGGCUUGAAUGAAUGGUUGAACGAAAAACAAUCUUUCUUUAUUUAAAUAUUUGAAUUUAAUUUUUUAGUAAAAAAGCUAAAAUAUAUUUGUAAGACGAGAAGACCCUAUAGAAUUUAAUUUAAUAUUGUAUAAAAUUAAUCAUGUUUAACUUUUUUUUAUUGAAUAUUAAAUUGGGUUGGGGUGAUUAUGAAAUUUUAUUAACUUUCAUUAUUAUAUAUCAUUUAUUAAUGUUUAAUUGAUCCUUUAAAUUAAGGAUUAUAAGAUUAAAUUACCUUAGGGAUAACAGCGUAAUUCUUUUGGAGAGUUCUUAUCGAUAAAAUGAGUUUGCGACCUCGAUGUUGGAUUAAAGUAAGUUUUUGGUGUAGUAAUUAAAUAACUAGGUCUGUUCGACCUUUAAAUCUUUACA